rnacentral:rRNA from 1 species
AUUGAACGCUGGCGGCAUGCUCUACACAUGCAAGUCGAACGGUAACAGGGUGCUUGCACCGCUGACGAGUGGCGAACGGGUGAGUAAUGCGUCGGAACGUGCCGAGUAGUGGGGGAUAACGCAGCGAAAGUUGUGCUAAUACCGCAUACGUACUGAGGUAGAAAGUGGGGGACCUUCGGGCCUCACGCUAUUCGAGCGGCCGACGUCUGAUUAGCUAGUAGGUGAGGUAAGAGCUCGCCUAGGCGACGAUCAGUAGCGGGUCUGAGAGGAUGAUCCGCCACACGGGGACUGAGACACGGCCCAGACUCCUACGGGAGGCAGCAGUGGGGAAUUUUGGACAAUGGGCGCAAGCCUGAGCCAGCCAUGCCGCGUGUCUGAAGAAGGCCUUCGGGUUGUAAAGGACUUUUGUCAGGGAGGAAAUCCUAGUGGCUAAUAACUGCUGGGGAUGACAGUACCUGAAGAAUAAGCACCGGCUAACUACGUGCCAGCCGCCGCAGUAACAC